GAUGAAGAACGUAGCGAAAUGCGAUAAGUAGUGUGAAUUGCAGAAUUCAGUGAAUCAUCGAAUCUUUGAACGCACAUUGCGCCCCUUGGUAUUCCAUGGGGCAUGCCUGUUCGAGCGUCAUUUGUACCUUCAAGCUCUGCUUGGUGUUGGGUGUUUGUCCUUGCUCUAGUGGCGGGACUCGCCUUAAAGUAAUUGGCAGCCAGUGUUUUGGUUUUGAAGCGCAGCACAAGUCGCGAUUCAAGUCUAUACGCUAGUUUCCACAAGUCUUUUAUCACUUUUGACCUCGGAUCAGGUAGGGAUACCCGCUGAACUUAAGCAUAUCAAUAAGCGGAGG
rnacentral:misc_RNA from 1 species